UUUCCCUCAAUCGACUGAUUCUCUGUACGACGCACCCUUCUACAUCCGCCUCUUUGCAAAGGAUUUCUCAUUUGUUUCCUUUUGGAUUUAAAGCGUCUCAGCAAUUACACCCUUUUGGAGUCGAAUCUUUUAAUCAAUCUAUAUAUGAAAGUUUCAGAUUAUGUAUCCCUUUAUAUAUUCCAUCAUAGUCAUCCAGUUUUUAUAUGUAUGAAUUCCCCUCAUACCUUUCAUCAUCAUCUUCGUCUCUGCAAUUUAUUUCUCUCCAAUUUCCCCCUCUUAUUUCAUUUAUUGUAGGAAAAUAAAUCAAUUCAGUGGUUGUUUGAUUUCAACAGACAAAUCUCCUUUUUUUUAAUGAUUGGGAGUGCGUGGGAGGAGAUGGAGUGAAUCACGUCUGUUUUGGCCGACGAACAAUAUUUAUUCUCACGUUACUUAUUAUGCAUUUCGACUCUAGAACUGUUAUUUUUCCCAAGUAGUUUUGUUUCUGCAAUGAUUACGUCUUUCUACUCCAAUUGCUUUUUUCUAUAAUAGCUUCUUUACUAUUCUUUAUCUGGUAUUUGAUGUUUUUUUGUCCAUGAUGGUUUUUUCAAUGUAAAUCAUUUUCCUCUGUUCCAUUUUCUAUGCACCAAUUUUCAGGAUUUCAGAAAAGUUGAUCCAGGUUGUAGGAGAGCACUCAUAUGUCUUUGCGUGCAUUGAAGUGGGGAAGGUUGGACUUGAAGAUGAGGAGAGACACCAACGGUAAGUUUCUCUGAAAAAUGGAUCUUUGUGUUGUUUCAAAUCAGUGAAUUAUAGAUACUGAUAAAAAUUCUUCGUAAUGUAACGUACGCUCUGUUUCAAUGUAGUUUAAGAUUGUUCUUUAUCCCUCAAAUAGAUACGGCCAGUAAUUGAUUUCCCCAUUAGUUACUCUGAAACUGCAAACCAAAGACAGCAGAAAUUGAAUGAAUAUCAUAAGCGACAGUGUUUUAUUAAAAUUCUUUAGUGUAUUGUUUAGUUGGAGACAAACCUUUUCCAUCUAGUAACAUUGUUUUGUUUAGGAUUUUUAGCUAUCCAAACACGUAAAACUCGUCCUACUAUUUUUUUGUUGACAACGUUUCAUUUUAAUAUUUUCUAAAAAUUUGUAAGCAAAUAACUGCAUAGAAAUUUUUUUUUUUCACCAUUUUAUGAUUAGUGAAAUUAGUGCAAAUUUUACUUUGACAAAUGCAUGGACAUCGACUAUUUAUAGAUUUUGAAAAUCUAUUUGAAUAGUUACAACUUUUCAGUUUAAAUAGUCACAUCCUUUUGAUUUAAAAGUAAUUAUUUUGAAAAAAAAUACUUAUAUGAAUAGUCACAACUUUUCACUUUUUAAAAUAUACUUAUAUGAAUUUUUAGAAAAGACACAACUUUCCAACAUUGAAUUUUUUGAAAAGACACAACCUUUUACACAUCUUUUUCAAAAGACACAACAUUUCAACAUAAGUAAAUUCACAACUUUUGGAAUUAAUCAGGAUUGCUAUUAUUAGUAGAUGAACAACUGUAAUCGUUCUAACUUUUGACGUGAUAGCUCGAAUGCAUGAAUUAAACUUAAAAAUACUCAUGUAACAUAAAAUUAUAUAUAUAUAGGGACUUAUCUGUCUUUCUAAAAACUUUAAAAUUUAUGAUGUAAAUUUUUGGGCAAUUCUCCAUAAUAGCAUUUUUGAGUUUUUGUCUCAAAAAUUUAUAAUGUAAAUAUAUAUAUAGGGACUCCAUACUACCCAAAUACGCCAUAACGCAGCAAAAUCAUAGUUGCAAAUUGAUUUCCAGCCAGGGAAGGAAGUGUGCAAAAUUUUACGGGAUCGGCGUUCCUUCACUCGAGUUUCAAUUAUGCUACCAAAAGAAUUUUACAAAGCUUAAACCAUUUCCUAAAAUUUCUCCGCCGAACUGAACUGUAAAAUUCCAUGACGUUCCAGCUGAAGGUGUCUAUCAGAGAUUUUGGGUUUUGGAGCUUUUGCUCCUGUAAGCUCUAGAGCUGCUUUUCUGGCAUGUUUUCUUUGAUGCUUCUUAAGACCACCAUUAUCCAUGGUUGUUUAAGGGGUGUUUAGCAAUUUUUUAAUUAAAAAAAAAAGAAAGAGAAGAAGAAGAAGAAGAAGAAGAGGCAGCGCUUCUGAUGCUUCUUUAAGCGUCGUUGUUUUGUUCUGUUUGCGGGCUCCACCGAUACGUGGCAGCCCGCGAUUGAUUUUUUUUUUAAUUUUUUUUAUUCAGAAAAGAAAAAAAAAUUAAACACUCUUAAGACCAUCUCAAAGGCAACUCUAUUUUUUCCUCUAUAAUUUACACAAAAAUAGAGUAACUCUAUUAUAGUGUAAUUUUUGCUCCAAUGGUGUUACUCUAUAAUGGAGUUACUCUAUUAUUGAGUGAAAUAUAGAGGAAUGUCACUUUUUCACUCCAAAUAUAGAGUAAAAUAUGACAUUCCUCUAUAUUCCACUAUAUAAGAGUUAGUCUAUUAUAGAGUAACACCAUUGGAGCAAAAGUUACACUAUGAUAGAGUUAGUCUAUUUUUGUGUAAAUUAUAAAGAAAAAAAUAGAGUUCCAUUGGAGAUGCCCUAAUGAGUUGCUAGGGUUUCUUCGAAGUUGCUUCCUCAAAGACAUAAUCAUCUUCCGAAGUAGAGCCGUCAGCUGUAUAUAUUUCUUCUUCUUCUGAGUUUGACUCUUGUAAAGACUCCGAUUCUGAAGGUUGCACCUCAUUUUUUUCUACUCUCUUUCACAAUGUUUCUAGUUUAGACCUUGUCGAGUGUGUUUCUCUUUUUAUUCGCUCGUCUACUUGUGUGUGUUUUAUUUUAUCUAUUUCUUUCUUUUACUUGUUAAAACAUUUCUGUUCCAAACGUUACAAAAAGAAAGUUUCGUUUCAGAACAUUGUAUUGUUACUUGGAUAAUAGUAAACCAGCUAAAAGAGAGUGCAAACGAUAGUUUUAAUGACUCUUCGUUUCUUUCGACGAAACAUUUAAGAAGCCAUUCGAUAGGAGAAUAUGUCCAAUAGAAAUUUUAUACUACAAAUAUAGGGCUGAAAGCUUCACACUUAAUAUUUGAUAUUCACUUAGUAUUAUUCACUUGAGCAAGUUCGUAUAUUCACCUAGCUUAGUGUCUCUAUGAAUUGGUAUUCUCGUGGCUCAUACGAUUCCCAUCUAUUUUCCGCGGCUGAUAAGUUAUCAGAAAGUUGUAUAAUCUCUUUUCAUUGUAUUAUUAGUUGUUGUUUGAGAAUUCGUUUUAAAGAAAAAUCGUAGCUAGGGUUUUGUUGUUGGUUCGUGGUUCCUUCUGAAUUAUUUAAGAAUAUUAUUACUUAGUUAGAGAGAGAGAGAGAGAGAGAGAGAGAGAGAGAGAGAAGAAGUAAAGUCACGCUUGAGUGUUACGAAAACGAACAAAAGUCAGGAAGUAAAUAGAUAACUAAACAAGAGACGUCUCUCUUAGGUUUUACUAAUCACUACUCGUAGCAUAGUAAAGCUCUACUACUCCAAUCUGCAAAGGGAAACCAAAUCAAUCAACUCAUCCAAGAAUGUAAAGUAAAAGACACUUGGAAGAUAUUGUGCUACCUUUGUUUCUUGGUAUCUUUCUCAAAAUCUGUCUUGGCAGCCCAUAGUAUUCCACUGUCAAAAAAAAAAAAACAAUAAAUUUCAAGAAUCAACCAGUGUCAAAAGAAGAAUACACAAUGGACAAA